AAUGUAUGUACCGAAUUAUAUGUGUGACAUCCCGUCCCGAGAUUAUAAAAACGUAUGUGUGAAUUUACCUUUUUACCCAUAGUUCGUUACAUUUACGUUUAGUGUUGUUUGUGUGGUGUGGCAUGUGUUGGACCACACACACACACUCACACACACUGUCUCUCACUCUCCCGUGUUUUCCUCUCCCUCUGUCUCUUUUCUGUCACUUUUCUCUCUCUCUCUCCCGAGCUCCAUUCAUUCUUCUUCCUUCUGAAAACGUACGGACAACACACACAUCACCCAAACCUUGAUGGAUCGAAGGAACCAAGGGCAUUUUUGGACUCGUGAACCUCGUACGAGUGCAACCAUACCAUUUUCAGCUUGUAGAUGUCUUAGUGAGGUCCCAAGGAGCCUCGGAAUACUUCGUUGGAGAAGUUUGGACGUCGGGAUUAUUGUGGUCAAAGUUGGCCGGAGCUUUCGAGGCUUUUUCCGGCGAAUCCACGGCGAUUUAGGGGUCGAGGCAGAAAUUCCGGCAAAACACCCACCUCCGGCGAAACCAGUCCGGCGACGCGAGGAAGAAGACG